ensembl:snoRNA
CUCUCUCUCUCAAAUAAAUCUUAAAAAAAAAAAGAAAAAAGAGGCUACCACAGAAGGGAAAAGUAAGUCUCCAUAAAACCCAGAGACUGUCAUCUCUUCUUUGGAUCCUAUCUGGUGUCACAGCU